rnacentral:rRNA from 1 species
UAGGGAAUCUUCCACAAUGGACGCAAGUCUGAUGGAGCAACGCCGCGUGAGUGAAGAAGAUCUUCGGAUCGUAAAACUCUGUUGUUAGAGAAGAACACGAGUGAGAGUAACUGUUCAUUCGAUGACGGUAUCUAACCAGCAAGUCACGGCUAACUACGUCAG